rnacentral:rRNA from 1 species
CUCAGAACGAACGCUGGCGGCAUGCCUAACACAUGCAAGUCGAACGAGACCUUCGGGUCUAGUGGCGCACGGGUGCGUAACGCGUGGGAAUCUGCCCUUGGGUUCGGAAUAACAGUUAGAAAUGACUGCUAAUACCGGAUAAUGUCUUCGGACCAAAGAUUUAUCGCCCAGGGAUGAGCCCGCGUAGGAUUAGCUAGUUGGUGAGGUAAAGGCUCACCAAGGCGACGAUCCUUAGCUGGUCUGAGAGGAUGAUCAGCCACACUGGGACUGAGACACGGCCCAGACUCCUACGGGAGGCAGCAGUGGGGAAUAUUGGACAAUGGGCGAAAGCCUGAUCCAGCAAUGCCGCGUGAGUGAUGAAGGCCUUAGGGUUGUAAAGCUCUUUUACCCGGGAUGAUAAUGACAAUACCGGGAGAAUAAGCCCCGGCUAACUCCGUG